rnacentral:rRNA from 1 species
UGAGGAAUUUUCCACAAUGGACGAAAGUCUGAUGGAGCAACGCCGCGUGCAGGAAGACGGCCUUCGGGUUGUAAACUGCUUUUUCUAGUGAAGAUUAUGACGGUAGCUAGAGAAUAAGGAUCGGCUAACUACGUGCCAGCAGCCGCGGUAAUACGUAGGAUCCAAGCGUUAUCCGGAAUUACUGGGCGUAAAGCGUACGUAGGUGGAUGUUUAAGUGAGAUGCGAAAUCUGGCGGCUCAACCGUCUAGACUGUAUCUCAUACUGGGCAUCUCGAGGUUGGCAGAGGCAAGUGGAAUUUCCGGUGUAGCAGUGAAAUGCGUAGAUAUCGGAAGGAACACCAAUGGCGAAGGCAGCUUGCUGGGCCACACCUGACACUGAGGUACGAAAGCGUGGGGAGCGAACAGGAUUAGAUACCCCGGUAGUCC